UGUCUUUGUAACCUCCAUGCUUGCUGAGACGCCCAGAGCACAGGUAUCUUAAGCUAUCAUCUCUGAACUUAGUUCUUCCAUCUUAAGCCAGACCUCACAUCAGAGGUACUGCGUUUUCCAUAUCUGUGCAAUUCCUCCCCUCUCUACAUAAAUAAUCACCAUUGCAGAUGGUGAAUCAUAAGAGGGAAGCCAAUCUGCAGGGAAAGCUGUCUCUAUUUCAAGAGCUUGGGUGUUUAGGUGCUGCCGAGAACUGGGAUAAAUGCAGAGACUGGGAUUAAAUGGUUAAGUAGCACCUAGUAACUGGUGUGCCUCCCUCUUGGGCACUGCUAAACCUGGAGAUACUACGGAAGCUGUGCUUACAUCUGCCUCUAUUUCCAUCCACACUGAAUAUAGUCAAAUGCUAAAGGCAACCUGGAGAGGAAAGUGAAGCAUGAAACCUGCAAGGAGCACAAAUGAGGCAAGACAGGGUCUCCCACUGAACCUAGAGCUCAUCGAGUGGCCACCACAUCAAGCUUUUUGACAAGGUGCCUGGGGCUCCUAACUGAGGUCCUAAUGGUGGCAGGGCACCAUUUUGCUGACUGAGCCACCUCCUUAGCCCCAUAUUGGAGCUAUUUGUAUAGCCAAUAAACCCUAGAAGACGGAAGCUAAGAACCUUCGGCUACUCUAUCAUCCACAUCGCUGAUGGAGUUGAGGGAGAAGCUAGCAGGCUGAGGAGGCUGUUUUAGAGAAGGUAUUUUUGAUGCUGCUGGUACCUGGACCAUCCCUUGAGGUCCAUUUGAUGAAGAGUCUGACUUCCCUGGAGCCUAACAAGAUUGAUCUGCCAUCUCUGGAUGAUGCUCAACUAUGGUAGUAAGUUUUCAUCUGGCCCA